rnacentral:rRNA from 1 species
GACGAACGCUGGCGGCGUGCUUAACACAUGCAAGUCGAACGGAAAGGCCCUGCUUUUGUGGGGUGCUCGAGUGGCGAACGGGUGAGUAACACGUGAGUAACCUGCCCUUGACUUUGGGAUAACUUCAGGAAACUGGGGCUAAUACCGGAUAGGAGCUCCUGCUGCAUGGUGGGGGUUGGAAAGUUUCGGCGGUUGGGGAUGGACUCGCGGCUUAUCAGCUUGUUGGUGGGGUAGUGGCUUACCAAGGCUUUGACGGGUAGCCGGCCUGAGAGGGUGACCGGCCACAUUGGGGCUGAGAUACGGCCCAGACUCCUACGGGAGGCAGCAGUGGGGAAUAUUGCACAAUGGGCGGAAGCCUGAUGCAGCAACGCCGCGUGCGGGACGACGGCCUUCGGGUUGUAAACCGCUUUCGCCUGUGACGAAGCGUGAGUGACGGUAAUGGGUAAAGAAGCACCGGCUAACUACGUG